UUUUAUGUGUAAACUCUGGAUAAUACCCCAACUCUCUUGUUUAUAUGCACAAGGUUAGAGAAAAUUACAUGAAAAAGGCUUUUAUUUUGGUCUUGGAGUUUGUUUUUUUCUUUAUGCUUUUCAGUGUUUUUAAAAAUAGUAACAAUUUAGCUAAGGAAUUAUAAAACUGACCUUGAACUUGUGUGUUUGCUUCUUAAGUUAGCUCCUGGGAUCUUCUAGACAGCCUCAUCUUACUGGUGGCUGCUGCCACAGCAGCUGCUUUCCUCACCUUAUUUGUGCUGUCCACUGCUCGCUCGCUCUCUCUCUCUCUCUCUCUGUCUCUCUCUCUCUCUCUCUCUGUGCAGCUUUUUUCUCUGUAACAACCCUAGUUGGUCCCUCUCGUUUGUAAGUAGUUUAUGUUCUUCUGCACAUAAUUCUCUUAGAGCGGAUACAUUUUAAUUAACAUUUAUUUAUUUAUUUAUUUAUUUAUUUAUUUAUUUAUUUGCUUUGUGUUUGUAACAGGGUCUCUUGUCUCUUCUAUGUAGCUGAGGCUGGCCUUCAGCUCCUGAUCCUCCUCAUAUCUCCAAACUUUGUGGGAGAGAUAUAUCAUGGACAACCAUUUAUGCUGAUGAUUUGGUCGUUUCCUUACACCAUCUGAUAUUGGGGUACAUGUAAGAGGAGCUCAUUAGUGCAAUAUGAAUUGAUUGAAAAAAGAUUUGGCUUACUUAGAUACUUAAAAAAAUGGACAGACUCUUCAGAAGGGUUUGAAGUAGUAUGUUACUUAUACCAAAAUGGUAGUGGCAUUCAGGAGAAAAAGUGACAGACCUGAGCCUUCCGUGGGAAGCAGAGCAGGGCUGGAUUAUGAGGUUUCUCAUACUGUCUGUCAUUAUCACUUCCGCUUCCUGAUUUCUUUAUCUGAGAAAUGAGGCUCCUAGAGUGUUGGAGUUAAGGACAUGUGCCACUGCACCUGGUUCAGAUUAGGUUUGGGGGAAGUUGGGGGAGAACAUGGUAGAAGAAAUUGUGGAAAUGUUUUAUUGUAUCUGAAAUUUUUUUUGUGGCAAUUUUGUCAUGGGUAUCCAAAGUUUAAACUUCUGAGCCAUCAAAUGGAUUACAUCCUGGGACUCAUAAAAGUAUUUUAUGAUUCCUUUUGAGAUUCAAUAAUGAUUUGGAUUGCUGUAGAAAAAUAUAAAAUGACAUAGAGUAUCUUACUGUGUCAGAAACAAAAAAAUGCUUUUAAAAACCACUGGGAACAUGUCAGAGGAACCUGAAAGAGUCCCUACUGGGCCAAGCUACGAUCAGAGGAGCCACAAAGGAAAGCAUGUGGAUUAUUGUUCCAUGUGGGAAAUGGGCCCACAUCUGUGCUAUAAAUGAUACAAACUGAUAUAAAUGGGGAGUGGAGAGAAAGGCAUGUCUCGCUUGUGGAAGAAUUCCAAAUAAUUGAUGUAGCUUUUGCAACUUCAUGGAGAAGCAGCUUAAUUCCAACAUCUUUCUUCCUUGAAGGUGGGCUUGACUUAAUGAUUCAUGUUUGAAGAAUAGAGUCAGGGGUAGGUAGAAGUAGAAAUGCUUUAGUGGGGAAACUUGGCAAAUAUUGUUAUUCAAAUGAUGAACAUUAAUGUCACAAAUAAUUUGAGAUUGAUAUAUACCCCUGAAGAUGUCGUCCUUGUGUUCUUUCUGAAGAUCUGUAACUCAAAUAAAUCUAUUUUCAAGAAAAAUAAUAAAGAAUAGGAGACAUUCUGAGGGAUACCUAACCAGUAAAGGUCAUGGAAACAAGUUAAAUCUAAAAGAUUAAAAGCAAAAGACAAUAACCAAAUAAAGUAUGGUAUUCUCAACUGGUAUCUAUAAUAUAAAGAGAACACAAACAGAAAAUCUGAAGUCUGGAGUUGGACCAAUGUUAGUUUUUAAUUUUGACAAAUAUACCAUGGAAAUGUAAAAUAUUAACAGUUUCGAAAGCAAGAAGUACGCAGGAUUUCUCAAUUCUGAAACAAAGUCUUAUAAAACUGUGAGU
rnacentral:lncRNA from 1 species